CCUACGGGAGGCUGCAGUAGGGAAUCUUCGGCAAUGGACGAAAGUCUGACCGAGCAACGCCGCGUGAGUGAAGAAGGUUUUCGGAUCGUAAAACUCUGUUGGUAGAGAAGAACGUUGGUGAGAGUGGAAAGCUCAUCAAGUGACGGUAACUACCCAGAAAGGGACGGCUAACUACGUGACAGCAGCCGCGGUAAUACGUAGGUCCCGAGCGGUGUCCGGAUUUAUUGGGCGUAAGGCGGGCGGAGGUGGUUUAUUAAGUCUGGUGUAAAAGGCAGUGGCUCAACCAUUGUAUGCAAUGGAAACUGGUAGACUUGAGUGCAGGAGAGGAGGGUGGAAUUCCAUGAGUAGCGGUGAAAUGCGUAGAUAUAUGGAGGAACACCGGUGGCGAAGGCGGCUCUCUGGCCUGUAACUGACACUGAGGCUCGAGAGCGUGGGGAGCAAACAGGAUUAGAUACCCGUGUAGUC
rnacentral:rRNA from 1 species